ensembl:lncRNA
CACUUUGCUGGGUAAAGAAGUGGUUGGAGGGCCAGGUCCAGAGAGUGGUGGUGAAAGUAGUUAAAUCCAGCUCGCAACUGGUCAUGACUGGUGUUUCCCAGGGGUCAGUAUUGGAGCCCUGUCCUCCUCAGUAUCUUUAUCUGAUGAUGUGGAUGAGAAGAUUGAGUGCACCCUCAGUAAGUUAGCAGAUGACACCAAGUUGGAGUGUCAAUCUACCUGAGGGUAGGAAGGCUCUAUGGAGGAGUCUGGACAGGACAGAUAGCUGGGCUGAGGCUAAUGGCAUGAAAUUCAACAAGAACAAGUGUCAGGUCCUGCACUUUGGCCACAACAACUUCGAGCAACACCACAGGCUUCGGGCAGACUGUUGGGAAGACCGUGUGGAAGAAAUGGACCUGGGGUCUUUGGUCAACGCUCAGCUGAACGUAAGCUAGCAGUGUGUCCAGGUAGCCAAGAAAACCAAUGGCAUCCUGCCUUGUGUCAGAAGUAGUGCAGCCAGCAGGAGCGGAGGGGUGAUCGUCCCCUUUUACUUAUUACCUUGAGUACUGUGUUCAGUUUUGGGCCCUUCACUACAAGAAAGACAUUUCUCUGUGUCCAGAGAAAGGGAAUGAAGCUGUAAGGAGGCUGGAGGACAAGUCUUAUGGGGAGUUACUGAGGGAACAGGGAUUAUUUAGUAUGGAGAAGAGGAGGCUCAGAGGAGACCUUAUUGAUCUUUGCAAUGACCUGAAAGGAGGCUGUGGUGAGCUGGGGGUCAGCCUCUUCUCUCAGAUGACAGGGAUAAGAUGAGAGCUAAUGCCCUCAAGUUGUGCCAGGGGAGGUUCAGGUUGGAUAUUCAGAAAAAAUUUGUCUCCAAAAGAGUAGCCAGGUGCUGGAACGGGCUGCCCAGGGAAGUGGUUGAGUCAUCGUCCCUGGGAGUGUUCAAGAAAUGUUUAGGUGUACUGAGGGAUAUGGUUGAGCAGGGAAAUAUUGGUGGUAAAUGCGUGAUUGGAUUAAAUGAUCUUGGAAGUCUUUUACAACCUUGGCGAUUCUAUGAUCUUAUGAUUCUAUGGCCUCAAUCACAGUUUGGGUUCAACAUAGCUACUUCAGCUAAUUAAGAAUUAAAAAUGUGUGGAGAAAGCAAAGAAACAUUGCAUUCAGUCAGCACUAUAGUAAAAGGAAAAGUAAAGACUGUGUGGCCUUCAAGAGCUAAGCCCUGUAGCCCGCAGGACAAUCCUGUGCGUAGAAGGCGGUAGACGUGCAGCAGGAGGAAGCCUUGGUUGUGUUCUGAAUUUCUUGAUGCAUUUGAACAGUUGCCUUGACCAUACUGGAAUAAUUAAUGGGACUUGAUAUUUCUGAGUGUACUUAACUACUGAUUUAUGCAUUACCAUAAGCUCACCAUUGUCCAAAUGUACCUGUAGGGCCUCAGCUAAAGGCUUUGAAGUCAGUAUCAGUCUGAAGAGAAUGCGAGGUUGAUCAUGCCCUUAAACAAAUACUUCCGGAAGGCCCACUGUGCAUAUAGAGAAGUAUUUUCUUGCUAAGCUGACAUUUUAAAAUUAAACAUUUUUUUGGCUCCAGGCCUUAAAGGAAAUAGGACAAGUUUCUCUUCACUUAUUUUUUAAUGAUGCAAAAAAUAAGUUUAAGCUUCUUUUUAUUUUAAAGUGACUAUGUAUCUUUUUUCAGACUCUUCUAACUCAGCCCAACAACAACAAAUACCCUAAGCUCACAGAUAGAAGAGAAAGCAUCAGAAAGUACUGACUUAAAAUGUCUUUUAAAGUUUUAAGUUUGGAAAGCAGUGAAUGAAUGGAAACUCUUUUGCAACCAUAAGAACUCUUUUUGCAGUGGAUGCCAGUUUGUGGGUGUUUGUGUGUGUCAGAGCUUGUCACGUAGUUAUUGGGAUUAUAUUUUCCAUGCAUACUUAUGAAUCACUCAGAAAUAGAUCCUGGUUUCUGCUAUUGCUUUACUUUUUGUAAGCAUAAACUCAAUAAUUUGGACGAUUACAUUUCAGAAUGUCUAUAAGCCAAUUGCUUUAGUGUGUCACUUCUGACUGUUUAUGUGACAUGAUUGAUUAACUAUAUUACAGUGUAAGCUUUCAGCUUUCCUUUUGGAGAAUUAAAACUUUUAAGAAGUCCAAACAAUGAAUAUAAAAUUAAAUCAUCCAGAAUGUAACAGCUAAAGGAUCUGACUUAAUUCCUUUUUUUCAGUCUUCACCCAAUGGGAAGUGAGUGCUGCAUGUCUUCUGUGAAGUUGAAUAAACUUCUGCUCGUUUCAAUUAUGUUGCUGAAUCAAAAGACCAACUCCUAGGAACUGCUCACCAUCAGUUUAGCGCAGUGUUAUCUGUCAUCAUUCAUUUUAACUAUGAGUUAAAGAGAGAUUCUUCAUGCCUACCCCUUCACCCUGUCCCAAAUUCUACAGUAUCUUCUCCAAAAUCAUAUUUGUUUCACCAGCAGGUUAUAUAAUGGGGUUCACUACAACUGUUUUGCAUACGAAAGAAAGAAUCAUACAGUUCUGGAUUUUCUGAACUGCAUAAGUGACAGCUGCAGAACAGAUUAUUUAAGCAACUCUAAUCCAGGAAGUUACUUGCAAUUAAUUUUUUUAACAUUAAAUUCCUAAUGAUCAUCAAGACAGUUAUUUUGAUGUUACUUUACAUAAGGUCAAUCAUGGUUUUCACCUUAAAGGAAGUCAAUCUUGAAACAGAAUUUGUAUGUAAUUCAUGCAGGGUCACAUCAGCAGUGGGUUUCUUUGAGAAACAAGGAGGCAUAAAACACUUGUGUCUUCAGUGAAUGAAUGUUGGGUUGGAAAUAGGGAGUUCACCUCUUCAAAUGAAAGUAGAGUGGAAAGACGGAAGCAAUCAGUAGGUAAUCUAGUCUGAUCUCUUGUAUAAUAUGAGCAGCAAAUUCUGUAAUGAGCUUAAUCAUUUGCUAGUAAUUAAUGCAUAUGUUGCAUUUCACUCAGGUAGCUCUUACAGAAAAGCUUUCAGUCUUCAUGUGAAGGCAUUAAGAUGUGAGGAGACUACAUGUGCAUUGGUCUUUGCUCCGGAAAUUAAUCAUUCUUGCAGUUAAUUAAUAGAUAAUUUCCCCAUCUUAACUAACUUGUGCUUAGCCUUCCCUGGUGACUUGUUUUGCCUUUCAUGAUUUAUUAAAAUUGCUUUUAUGGCCACUAUUCUGUUACCAUGUAGAUAUUUUGUACUUUGUAAGCAAACCACCUCUCACUAUUGUUUUUGAAAUGUUGGAAAGAUUCCUUAGAAUCAUAGAAUCACCAAGGUUGGGAAAGACCUAUAAGAUCAUCCAGUCCAACUCUCCACCCAUCACCACUAUUUCCCACUAAACCAUGUUCCUCAGUAUAUCUGACCGUUUCUUGAACACCUAUAGAGAUAGUGACUCCACCAACUCCCUGGGCAGCCUGUUCCAGCGCCUGACCACUCUCUUGGAAAAGUAUUUCCUAACAUUGAACCUGAAUUCCCCCUGGCCCAACUGGUUUUCUUGGCCACCUGGGCAUACUGCUGGCUCACGUUCAGCCGAGUGUUGACCAAAGUCCCCAGGUCCGUUUCUUCCACACAGUCUUUCUGACAGUUUGCCCCAAGCCUGUAGUGUUGCCUGAGGUUUCUGUGGCCAAAGUGCAGGACCUGGCACUUGGUCUUGUUGAACUUCAUCCCACUGGCCUCAGCCCAGCUAUCCAGACUAUUCAGAUCCCUUCGUAGAGCCUUCCUACCCCCUGGCAGGCCUUAUUCCAUCCACAUAGGGAUUGAUUUGUUUGUUUGUUUGUUUAUUUAUUUGAGCUCUUAAGUGAUUUUCUUUUUUUCUGUACAUGUAGAACUUUGCAGAUGGUUGCAUUAUCGAUUGCAGUUUGAUAGCAUAUUCCUGCCUCUCUUCUCAACUUCAUAACUUCAUUCAUCAUUCAGCCAGGACAUGUGACAGCUGUAUGUCUGAUUAAAUCUUUGACUAACAAAGCUAAAUAUGUGUCACAGCAGAACCAUCUGCUCAAGGUGAUUCACAGCUUUUUGAAACUCGUCUAUGAGCCUUUCUACUCAAAGAAUCAAAGUUUUUUUUUUGUUGGUUUUUUUUUUUUUGGUCAGAGUACACUUUUAAAUACACCCAGAUGUCUAGUGGUAGUGUGCAUAUUCUUCAUAGAAUCAUAGAAUCAUGGCUUAGGUUGGAGGAGGGCCUUAAAGAUCAUCUAGUUCCAGCAGCCCAGCCAUGGGCAGAGCUGCCACCCACCAGAUCAGGUUGCCCAGGACCUCAUCCACCCUGGUCUUGAACACCGCCAGGGAUAGGGCACCUAUAGCUUCUCCGGGCAUCAUGUGCCAUUGCCUCAUGACCUUUUGGGUAAAAAAUUUCUUUCUAACAUCUGAACUAAAUCUACCCAUUUUUAGCUUAAAGCCACUCUCCCUUGUCCUAUCACUAUCAGACCAUGUGAAAAGUCAGUCCCCCUCCUGCCUGUAAGCUCCCUUCAAGCACUGGAAGACCACAAUGAGGUAUCCCUGAAGCCGCCUCUUCUCCAAGCUAAAUAAGUCCAAAUCCCUCAGCCUUUCUUCAUAAGAGAGGUGCUCCAGCCCUUUGGUCAUCUUCAUGGCCCUCUGCUGCUCCAACAGCUCCAGUAUUUUUCUUGUGCUGGGGGCCCUGGGUCUGGACACAGUAUCCCAGAUGGGUACCUUGUGAGGUACAGCCUCACAAGGGCAGAGUCAAAGGCGACAACCACUUCCUUCUCCCUGCUGGCCACCUCUCUUUUGAUGCAGCUAAGGAUACAGUUGGCCUUCUUGGCUGCAAGCACACACUGCUGGCUCAUGUCCAGCUCUUCUUCCACAGGACCCCCAAGUCCUUCUCUGCAGGGCUGCUCUCAGUGAGUUCUUCUCCCAGCCUGUACUCAUAUCUGGGAUUGUCUCGAACCAAGCUAAACAACUUGCACUUGGCCUUGUUAAACCUCUUUAGAUUCUCAUAUGCCCACUUUUCAAGCAUAUCCAAGUCCCUCUGGAUGGUGUCCCUUCCUCUGUUGUGUCAACUGCAUCACUCAGCUUGGAGUCAUCCUCAAACUUUCUGAAGGUAUACUCAAUCCCACUGUCUAUGUCACUGAUAAAGAUAUUGAAGAGCACUGGUCUCAAGACAGAUCCCCAGGGGAUACCACUUGUGACCAGCCUCCACCUGGACAUAGAGCCAUUGAUAACAACUUCCCAGCUAUCACUAGUCAACCAAUUCUUUGUCUGCCAGAUAGUCCAGUCUUCCACUUUCAGUCCUUCCAUUAAAGGAUUCUUAUCCUUUAAUUCUUUGUGAUGUAAAUCCUACAUGAAUAUUUCAUUAAUAUCCCCUGGAUUAAUACCAGGAUUUAUGACCCCUAGUUACACAGGUCAUCUACUUGCACUUCUAUUGAGAGCUUUCACAAGAUUAAUGCUCUCUAGGCAUCUGAGUCUUUCUGCUAUCGCGUGAUGUAUGGCAGAUGAGUAUCAGCAAGCAAGGCUUUUCAGCUAAUUCUUAAGGAAUUCUUGGUGGAGAAUUUUCAGAAUCUUCUGUUUUUAAGAUAUUUAUCUCUUGUGGAUGGUGUUCAAGAUUCUUCUUAAUUACUUACAGACUGCAAAACGCUGCAUUGCCCUGUAGUUUCACGCAUCAUCCAUUUUAUUGCCACAGCAGCUGCUCUUCUCAGUGACCAGGCCUUAGAUCUUGUCUAAGAACAAUUGCAGUGAACACUGUUCAUUUGCUUCCAUUGUAAUUUAUAAAUAAUAUGGGAAUGGUCUGUCCCCUGACUUAUAGGUGUGAUUUUCACUGACUUCAGAAACACUUGCAGCAAAUACAGUAAAUGCAGGGUAGAAUGAGAUAAUGUCCUCUAGUUGAUAAGUUGGUUGAAUGAAAGAGAUUUCUCUCUACAGUGCUUACCUUUCUCUGAUGGGACUUGAAGAUAUAGUCUAAACACAAUAGUUAAAUCAUGAACCUGUAGGUUGUGAAUAAAUGUAGGUAUGUCUGGACAUCCCUUGAUACGUGUAUUAUGUUACAGAGACUAUCAUCAGUGCUUUUCAGAAGGCUAGUCAUAUAUAGAUAAAAAUGAUUUCAGUGAAAAGCCAACAAUUUAGUAAUUAUUACUGAAAACAGUCCUCAGCAUGUUCAGGGGUGAACAAAGUCAUACAUAUGUCUACAGAAAAGUAUUUUAGUUCAGUUUGUAAUGUUUCUAUGAUUUCUUUGGAAGACUAGAAGCAUGUAUGCGUUUAAAGUGUCAUAUAACUUUAUUCAAUUAUGCUUGAUUGUUAUAAACAUAUUUUCUUGAAGUAUACUGAUAACAGUUAAACUGAUGUUUGUUAAAGAAAUGACUCAACCAAAAUGAUAAGAAUUGACACUACUUUUGCUACUGCUUUUAAUGCAUCAUCAACUAAAGGCACAAGAAAUGUAUCUUUGGUGGAAAGACAGUUCUGAAGAACAGAAAAAUAUCUGAGGAAAUCUCAUUCAAUUAACUGAAAACAACAAAAAUAAUGAUCCAGACAGAGGCACAUUUCAGAGAAAGAGUAUGCUUUUGGCUCUGAUUAUCCCUGCAUUGACUCAUACAGUUUAAGGGAAAUAUUAUGUCAAAGUAUCUUGUAAUAGCAGAGGAACAAAUAACUAGUGGUAACCAUAAAUGUUCAUGAAAACAAACAAACUUGUGUAUACCAACAUGUACAUAAUGGCAAACAAUAGCAGCUCUAAACAUUGCUUAAUUUAGUUCAGUACCUGAAAAGUCUUUUGUCCAAGAUGUGCUGAAAUUUUCUGGGCAACUUUAUACUUAUUACCCUCUGUUCUGACAUGUUUUAUGAAAAAACUACAGGAAAUUGUACGUAUCUUCUUUAUGCCAGCAGUCAGAAAGGACAAAAGACUCAACUUGCAGUUGAAAAACAUCAGAAAUGCAGAAACAAAUGAUGUUCCAUCACCCACUGUAUACAGUCUCUGUGCUGAACAGCCUAUAUUAGAAAUAGCAUGCACUAGCAAAUAUUGGCAUGUUAUUUCUUUCUUGACAGACUUGAGAAAAGUUUUCUGAAAUUGUCUUACAUAUUAAGAUGUUAAAUAAAACUAAAGUAGAUGUGAAUGCGCUAGCUCCUGUAUUAAAAGUGAUUUAGAUAUGAUUGAGUUAGUUUGAUCCAAAAACAAAAUUGUCCAGUAACAGCAUUAGUAAAUAAUGCCCAGAUCUUUAAACAAAAGAGGUAUUUAGAAACUGUUAAAUAGAAAAUAAAGUUUACUUAAUAACAGUGCAUUUCAUGGACCAAAAAAUAACUCUGUAAGUUAUAAAACAGCAUGGUCUGAAGCAUGUAACUCUGUAAUCUGAAAUCAGGUACAAAUAACAAAUAAAGGUUUUAUGCAGAUGGGUAAACUACAAAAUGUAAGUGCUAUGACAAUGUAAAUGGUACUUAGCAACAGCUGUCUUUUCUGUUCUAAUAUGCAUGAAGGUUUCAAAAUGUACCUUGUGAUAAAGAACAUAAUAUAUCAGCCUUGAUUAUAUCGUUCACCUCAGCUUCUUCCACCAGAAAGUGUGAUAAGGCUCAGAGAAUACAAUAGUCCAGUAUGUUCAAAUGCCUGGGUUUCCCGAGAAGUAUGCAAGGUGCAAAAUAAUGCCAAUUUUUAAUUGCAAGAAAACUAUUAGAUGAGAGUAAACACUGAGUUACAGGAGCCCAGUCACUGUCCAGAGUGUGGGAAAGCUCUGCCUUCUCUGAAAGACUCUGUCCAGGGGCAGUGGAGGUCUUCCUGACAUUAAAGACUGGUUUUAUAGGCGAUCAAAACUGAUUAACCAGAACAAGAUAAUUAUUUAUACAGAGAGAUUACUACUCUGUCAGAUAUCCCAUAUUAAGAAAGAAGUUUUGAGAACAAAUUUCCAUGUUCCUCUCUUCUUUUACAAAAUGAUUCUUAUAGAAGUCCAACAUUUAGAGUUAGUUAUUGUAACAGUAAUGAGACAGUAUUUCUAUGUUACGUCUGUAAUAUAUUUCAAAAAGUUUAGUUCCAGUUGGCUGGACGUGCUUCAUCACGUCUCAAAAGAGAAGGUGUUCCAAAGAGACUGUGGCUACAAAUAUUUCAGAUGUUAAAGCAAAAAGGAUGCAAGAUGAAAAGUGAAAGUGCUGAACACAACUGACCAAAUUAGAAAAUAAGAAAAAAAUGUGGGAAGUCAACAUGAAAGCAAGGAAAUAAAAGAUACUGCAGUAUACAGAUCCAGGAAAAUAUUGCAGGCACUGUUUUAGAAACAGCUGUAUUUCUUGAUGUGAAAUAUCUUUUGCUUUAAUACAACCAGUCUCUAUGCACUUGUACUUUAUUAAUAUUAUAACACUUAUGUUGAGUAGUAGAAACAAAAUAUAGAGGAAUUACAGAAAAUACUACUCCGAUUCAUAAAUUCAAUUUUUGUCUGUAGAAAAAAUACAUAGAAAUUUACCUGGGAAAGAUAAAUCUACAGGGACUCUUCAGAGUGUUUAGAAGAACAGAUUCUAAAUAGGGCGCCUCUGCGAUGCUGUGUGUAGUUCUUAAGGAUACCCUCUACUCUCACUGGCAGGAAUUACUGCUCUGCGCUAUGCAGAUGCUGGUGUUCUGAAAACUGUGGGUGAAGAUGGCAGACUUCAUCUUUCUUCCAGUCAUGGCAAUGGCUGUCAGGGGCUCAUUAUGGUUGUCUUCUGCACAGAGGCUUUAAGGGAAGAGUACACCUAUAUCAUCACUUUUCUUCCUGUGUACCAUGUAUAAGGUAUAGGAUUUCCCUUCUGCACUUCUGUGAUUUAAAAUUUCCUACAUAUUUCUGCUGAUAUGUGGAAUUGUUGCUACUUUAUUAUUAUUAUUAUUAUUAUUAUUAUUAUUAUUAUUAUUAUUAUUAUUAUUUUGUGCCAAGAGAGAUUUGUUCAUUCAACUAUCUAUCUACUAAAAUUUCACUGAAAUUCACAACACUGGUGAUUCCUCUUCUUGGAUUUAGAGCUGGUAAAAGUGAUACAGAUUUUACAUUCUCAAUGCCCAUAUAUAAACUUUAAAUGUAAUGAACAAAUCUUAAACACAAAUUUACAUGUAAUUUACAUAGACACAGUUGAGUUUGAAUAAUAUAGUGUUGAGAGAUGGAAAAAAAUAUGUAUACAUUUUUAUUUUGGCAUAUUUUAUAUAUUUUAUUUUGGCUCUAAAGAAAAAAAUCAGAAAACUCAUUUGGACAUGUAUUUAAUAAGAUAUUUCUCAUCAAUCUCAUUAAACAAGCAAAAAAAAAUCAAAAUAAUUUGACUAUUCAUUCAUAGAACAUAAAUUAAAUAAAUUUGCCAUUAAAUAUUUUUAGCAUGUCUAGAAUAAAAAUACUUUUAGUUGUAAAUAAUGUAUUUUACUUUUAAAAUUGCUGAACCUGUUAUGCUCCCAAAGAUAAUUUGACAAGAUCUAAGAAGGCUCAGCUGGGAAAUCUCCAAAUAUUGAAAGGAUGGAUGAUACCUUUGUUAGGAUAACUGGGAGACUGUCUGGAUACACUGAUACCUCUGCUGCAGCUUUCCCGAGUUCAUUAUUGCUUUGUUUGCAUUCUCAUGCUAUCUAGCCUUCCUAGAAACAGAGGCCCCAGAACCUCCCCACAAAUCCUCCUUGCAUGGGGAGGGUAUCACUGCUCAACCGAGAGCUGCUCCUCUCCUGGAUGUCAGCCAAUGCUGCUAAAUAGGGAUGGGGCCACAUCCUUGACCCCCAGCAAUGGUCAGCUACAGAGGUGUCCCUGUUCCCUUCACUGCAGCAAGUCACCAGGAAAUCCAAUCACCCCCGGAAGUAGGAUAUUUCUCCUUUUAGGUGGUGUUUUAUUUUUGCUUAGCAGCUGGCCUGAUUGGCUCUCAUCCUAUAGAGGGCAAAAUGUUACCUAAGUGGCAAUGGAUAUUACAGCAUGAUGUGACACUGCUGACGUCCUGCAUCAUCCUGGGCAAGGAAGGAGUACCUCAGUCAUGUGGAUGCCAGACAGGAGGUAAGUUUGUGACAUGCUGACAUGUGUGGCCACUGCACUGUAGGUAAGGGAUGGGCAGCCUGGGCAGCUGCAUAGACACUGUCAACCCAAAUCCAGAUGCUCCCUCCUCACCAUUGCUGCCUGCUUGCAAUCUGAAAAGUUAAAAAAAAAAAAAACAAAAACGAACUGUUUCAGCUUUCCUAAAUACUCUCAGGAUUCAUAAAUCAUUUACUGGAAAUUAAGAUUAGUUAUGACAAAGGACUGUAGUCCAGAAGUAGGAAAAUUAACAGUUAAGGAUAUGAUUAAUUUGUACUGCGUUGUAAAAAAGAAGAGGCCAUUGAAACGUUAAUGCCAAGUGAAUCCUCUAAAACUUUCAGCUAUUUUCAUGAUGUGAACAUUGCUCGGAACCUACACAUUAAAAAGAAAGGCUAAAUAAUGUCUAUAUUCUGACUUUGCAGUGUUUUUGAUCAGUAUUGCUGAUGUUCCAAGGCAUCAAUUAUGGCAGACACUUAAAAAAUCCAUUUGACGUUUUCAGUUUUAAAGUACAGAAGCCAUGAAUCACCAUUUAGAAUCACAGAAUUAUAGAAUGGCUUGGGUUGGAAGGGACUGUGAAGAUCAUCAAGUUCCAACUCCCUGCCACAGGCAGGGCCACCAACCUCCAGAUCUGGUACUAGACCAGGCUGCCCAGGGCCGCAUCCAAACAUUUACCUACCUUUGUUAUUUUUUCAAGAUAUUAGUUGUUUAAAUAAUUAUGUUGGAAAUCACUUUAUUUCUGGAGAUAUUAUGUCAUCCUGGAGGCAUAUUUUGCAACUAUCACUCACUUUUAGUUGUCCAUUACUCUUUCAGAAAUCAAGGUUUCUCAGGAAUAGCAAAUAGGCUUCAUUACUCUACAGAAACAGAAAAUAUGAAAAAAUACUCUACACUGAAAUAUCCUGAUAUAACUCAGAAUCCAAUAAAAGGUUCUUAUUAUUUUGAAACAUUUUGAGUGGUUUUUUUUUUUUUAAUACAUCAUAUUGGCUAGCAAAAUGUUUAACUGGCAUCAUUCUAUGGCAUUUUGUCAACUGAUGUUCUUAUUGCUAAUACAAAAUGGCAGAUGUACAGUAUCUGUAAAUAUCCAUGAAGACCACGUAGGUAGAAAAAUUAUCACAACAAUGCUUCACCUUUCAGUACUUUUUCUGGAUUAUGGUCAUGUUUGAAGUGCAAGAAAUAGUAAAAGGCCAGUUCUUCUACCUUAUCAAAAAAGUAAUAAUAAUAAUGUGCUGUCAGAUUUAAGUGGAAAGAUUUGAGCUACUGUCUUGUAUAAAUUGAGGUUUUUUUUUUUUUAAUGUGGGAAAAAGACACAACAAUAGGAUCAAUGAGGCAAACUUGAGAUUAGGAAAAUAAUAUCAUGCUUCAAGGAGCAUUAAAAUAUGCUUAAAUUAAUCAUGGAUUAAUAUUGUAAAAAUGGAAUACCUGUUGCUGUUAAUCUCUUAGAAGUAAACUGAGCUAUUGAAGACAACACUGUACAACAUUUUCAUGUGUGAAAUGAGGCAGGUGUUUUCAACUUUUCUUUUGCUAGAAUACAAAUAAUAGUAAUAAAGAAUACUGGUGAAAUGUUUAUUUCAGUAAAGUUUUCCUCAGGGCUUUAGUAGAGUUUUUUGUCUAGUAAAGGAGGCAAAUAAAGUCAAAUCCUGUAAUAAUCCAGGUAUGGAACUGCAUCUGGAAAGCAGUCAAGAAGAAUAAAAUUCUAUGGUUUUAUCAUGCGAUAAAAUAUUAGAGAUGAUGUAAUUCCAUUUGCUCAGACUUAAGCUGUGUCUUCUGCAUAUUCUAGGGAAGGAAAUCUAUAUUUUGCAAUUAAUAGAUAAAUUGCUUUAAUUACUUUCUCUCUCUCUUUUUUUUUUUCCUCUUGAAAAAUUAGGCAUGAACUUAAACAAAUAUCUGGCAAAAUUUCUACACUUUUACAGCACAAAGCACUACUAGUCAAAUUACGAGAUAACAUUUAAAAAAGAGCAAUACUUAGGCAAAAAUAGUCUAAUUGUGAGAAAGCAGAACAUGUUAGCCUUACCAACAGCCUUGGGUAACGUGUUCAAUACAAUUGCUGCAUGAAGCAGAAAUAUAUAUACACAUCUGUUGAUGUAAACUUUUCUGAAGUUUAAAGAUCAGUCAUUCCGGUUUGAUAAUAGUACACCUGAGUUGCAAACUAUUUUUUGAAUGAGGUCUAUUUUUGAGUCAUGUAAGAAUUAUAAAUAAUGUUCAUAUUUUGAAGAGUCCAUUUUAUUUCAUUGUUAAAUUGGUCAAAGAUAAGACCAAACUGAUCUAAUUAUUGAAGACCUCAAUUUUCAAGUCUGAUUUAUUUAUGCACCAAUUCCACUAAGUUGAUGAGGAGAAAGAUAUGGAUUUAAUGAUGUUUUCAUCCUCUACCCUUUUGCUAGAGACUCUGGCCACUAACCAGCAUGGAUCCUUAGUGCUCCCAAGCUCUUACAGGUUCCUAUUCUAUUAGAAAGACUUCCUAAAAAAUGUAGAGAUACAAGUGUGGAAAUAGGAAGGAAAACAUGAAAAAAUGAUAUAAUAAUAAUAAAGAUUUUUUUUAAUAUAAAUAGAAGGUUUUGAUAUCUUUCUUACCUUUCUAUGUCACUUUAGAAAUAUUUUUUGCUUGUAUGUCCUGCAUUGUCCAAAGUGCACACAGAGAUAUAUUUUGAAAAAGUUUUGUGUUUAAAAGUAAAUUGCAGAAACAUACCUUAGUAGUAAUUGCAUUUCUUGACAUGCUGUGCAACGGUCAACUAAUUAUUGGGUAUUGAAGUCACACAGCCACAAACCUCGUGAGAGGAGUGUCCCUGGGCUGCACUACAGCAGUUUACUCCAUUGCCACUUAUUUCUUUGCCUGGAAGCACAGGAGAUAAAAGACUAACCUUAAGACUACAGUGCAAGUCAAUAGUAAGGUCCUGAAUGAAGUGGGAGACACAGUGCUUAAAGUCCCUGCUGGACAGCAGUCAAUAUCAGACAUCACACUUAAACUGUCACAAUUUGACCUGACAAUCCUUUUUCAGAAGGACCAGAAAUAGAGCUAGCCAAGUUACCUUGCAUUUCUGAAGAAGGUCAGAUGCAGGUCACUGGCAGAUGGAAGUGUGGAUUAAAGAUGUCUGGCAUGAGUAUAAGCACGAACAUUUCUAGCCUGCAUAAACAUAAAUGCUAAGAUGCAUGAGGGAUUGCUACUGCCUAGUUGAAACAGGAGCACGGUUAAAAGAUCUUUAUAAAGAACAAAGAGAGAUGUUUGCUGUGUUCAUGUGGAAAAAAAAAAUACUGGAAGAAGAAAAAAAAGGAGACUUAUAUAGUCAGCAAUAUAUGUUCUAAAAAUGCAAUUUCCGGAUUAAUAACAAAGACGCUGUUCUAGUUCACCAGUUCCUUUAGGACGUGCGCUUUUGACCCACGCAACAUAUUGUGCCCCAUGGCUCUUAGCUGAACUGUGACUUAACUGUGCCUAUUUUUUUUAAAAUGUGUGAUGUCUAUUAAAACUAGCUGGUGCUUGUACCAGCACCCCAGUGGAAAUGAAAGAGAUGUCUCGGUGGACUGUCCAUUGGUUAAAUAUUAAAGGAUCAAACUUUAAUAUUUAAGUGUGUAUGUAGUAUAUUAUAUAAAACAAAUUCCCAUCUGAAUAUUUUAAGUUUUCCCUUUAAUCUUGGGAAAGCCAGCAUUUCCACCCCUUAACUUUAAUUAAUCAGAUAAAACAGUAUUUCAAGGAUAUAUCUCCUAUGAAAAGAGUAAGGCUUUUCUGUGAUUAUAUAUAUCUUUGCUCCAAGGCACUUAUUAAUUUGCUUAAAAGUCCAUGAAUCAUUUCAGAGAUUGUUUUAGCACUUGUCAUCUUAUCAGUCCACGUCUGAGGAAGGCAUGCUUGAAAAAAAUAGAAUGAAAUAUUAAGUAUUCCAGCAUGCUCUACAUUAUAAAUAUAACUGUCUUCAUUUUAUAAAUGAGUUACCAUAAAAACAGAGCAGCAGAGGAGGGUGAGAAGUGAUGGAGCACAGUGAAAGACAGUGGGCCUGACAAAUACAGCUGGGGAGGGAGUCAAAGGCAGCAGCAGGAUAGACAGAGCAGGAAAUCUCUCAUCCUCCUGCAGCUGCAGUACUCCUUGGCUCAGCUAUUUUGUCUUCAUGCGCCAGGAAAUGGGAGGAGCGGGUGCUCUGCAAGGGCAGAGUGUGGUGGUGGGGUGGAAGAGGCUGUGUCCCAACACUGAGAGCUGCCCUGCCCCAGCUGAGCUUGCAGAGCCACCCACUGAUGGCAACACCUUGUCCCUAUCACCUUGACAAGACCGGAUGGCAAGGCAGGUCCAAGAUCAAGGCAAACCUCCUCUCCCUGAAGUAUCACAGUACACUGAAAACAGAAAAUAUAGGUUCUCCAGGUUAGCAGAACUGAGGUCCACAGCUCCAAAGAUAUUUCUUCACCAUCCCAAUACACAGCACUGAAGUACUCAAAAUCUCUGCCAAACUACCCUUUGACUGGAUGGGUGUAUAAAUCCUGUACUUCGCCCAGUGACAAUGCACAGCCUGACUGCUAAAGUCACUCUAGUUAGCUUAUUACAUCCAGAAAUUAAUUUAACUAAAUUAGGAUUAGGUCUUGUGUUGAGAAGCUGUACCUUUCUGAAAUAUGAAGAGGAUUAUUCCUUGAACUGAGAGUGCUCAGGAUCUAACAUGCAGUAUUAUCAAUACACAAGGUACAUGUAUGCUUUCUUUCUACUUGCAAGAACUUGUCUGGAGAGGGAGGCCCAGGGAAGACCUUAUAGCUCUCUACAGUUACCUGAAAGGAGGUUGUGGUGAGGUGAGGGUCUGCCUUUUCUUCCACAUAACUAGUGACAGGACGAGGACCUCAAGUUGUGCCAAGGUAGGUUCAGUUUGGAUGUUAGGAAAAAAUUUGUCUCCAAGAGAGUGGUCAGGUGCUGGAACAGACUGCACAGGGAGGUGGUGGAGUCACAGUCCCUGGAGGUGUUCAAGAAAUGCUUAGAUGUUGUAUAAAGGGACAUGAGUUAUUGGGGAAGUAUUGGUGGUAGCUGGACAAUUGGACCAGAUGAUCUUGGAGGUCUUUUCUGAUGUUGGUGAUUCUAUGAAUUAUCCCUGUUUACUGAGAUAGCUGCCUAGGUUUUGGAACCCAUCUACUUUUUAAAUUACUGGUUUAUCUGGUGCAGGGUUGGGCAUUAUUUAAGCCAUUGUCACUCAGAUACAGCCACUGACAAACUCCUGCACGGCAAAAUAACCAAAAUGUAGGUGGGGAGAAAUGGUGUUUAGGACCCUUGGAGCCUAUGCAGAACAGAGAACAGAUGACUAUGCGUAGUCCCACUUCUCUGCUCUUUCAGCUGAAUGAGGCAGACACAUGCUCAGAUGAUAUAUAUAUUUGGCAGCCCUUCACUAUUUUUUGUCUGGAAAGUUGUCUUUGGGCUGAGAAAUCCAUGAGGAUAUAGGAAGAAAAAAAGUUAGCUUUGCAACAUUUAAGUACCUUUGAGGAUCUGGGCCCAAAGGCUUAAUCUGACACCAUCAAAGUCAGUUGAAGCUUCCUGAAGUUAGAAUGGGAAAUUGAGGUAAGAAUGUGAAUAUGCUCUUUUAUCAUUUCUUUUUUAUAGUUUCUGUUGAUAAAAAGCCUUGGAGUAGCAAUUAUUCUUUGAUGCUUCUGCUGUAAAAUCAGAGUUCAAAGGGGCUAGUUUGGAUUUUUACAAUGCUCUGACUUUUUAUCCUUUUUCUUCAGCAGCACAAUCAGAGGAGCAAAUUGAGCAAUAGAGCGAAUGAAAAAUAAAUGCUAUGAAAAUCUUAUUAAUUUCUCUGUCUACUUGGCUUACCAUAGAAACUUAGCUAGCUGAGGAGUCAAAAUUUGUCAGGUUGAGUGAAGGAAGGAAGGAAGCAAUUGUUCUGUGAAGGUGGAGGUAUGGAGAGGAGGAAAGGACAAACUGGCAAAAGAGAGAAGCAGAGAGGAAGAAUGAAACAUAAUAGCACCUUUUCUUAAUAGUUAUAAAGAAGAAUUUUGAUCUGAAAAAUUAAAGAUGGAUGAUCAAAUAUAAUGCUACUUGUUCUGUUUACAAUUUGAUGAGGGAGACUCAAGCUGUUAAUUUGGUGUAUUGCCUUUUCUCUAUCACUGUCAGAAUUGCGAAAUGAUUCAGAAGAAGGUUCAGAAACUUUUAUUACAGAUAAUUAUGAAGUAAUCUCUUGUUAAGAAAGUUUCGUCCUGGCCUGACACUGGUAGAUUAGAUAACAGGCAUUUAAGCCUUGAACUGAAAUCUGUCUAAUGUAAUUGGAUAUUCAGUCUCUGAAGAAAUUUCUCUGUAUAGCUCUAAGCUCUUGGUGUCAAUGCUAUCCUGUUCCAAGGAAAACUGUGCAUGAAAUAUUUUCUGCAUAGGAAAAUAUUUCCUUUUAUCAAGUUUAAAAUUGUUACCUUCCAGUUUUAUGGCAGUUCCAUUUACUCUUAUAACAUGUUAACAGCAAAUUUAGCCAUGUAACUACAGCUGAAUUACACUACUGAGGAUUCAAAAAAUGGUGAUACUAAAGCUCAUUAUUCACUGAGAAAAUCUAAUGCAAUGGUGUUUCUGAAGGUGGAGAGGUUGUACCCCAAAGACACUUUGACUGAGCUAUUUCUGUAGGUUUUCCUGCUUGAUUAUGUUUGAAAAUAAUUGUCUGACGGAUUAUUAUAUUAUUAUUUUUUUCCAUUUGUGUGGAAAGGAGGAAUUGAAUUUUAGAUGUGAAAAAUUUGAUUUAUCACCGAGGAAGAAGAUAGAUUGGAAACCAAAAAUGGAGAUGAAUAGUUAAUGGAAGGAAAACAUCAGAUGGAGAAGUAUGGAAAUGGAGAAAGUACAAGCAUCAGGAUGAAGAGAAAGGGAGUUGGGACUAAGAGAAUUCAAGCUGUAUUGAAUGGAAGAUAGAGCUUUCUUCUAUAGCUGGAUGUUGUGGUUUAACCCAGUAGGUGGCUCAGCACCACAGUCAUUUGCUCACCUUCCCAAUGGGAUGGAGGAGAGAAUAAUAAUAAAAAAAUAUAUAGAACUCACUGGUUGAGAUAAAAUUAUUUACUAAGAUAGAGAAAGGGAAAAGGAAAGAGUUAUGACUAUAUAUACAUAAAUGUACAAAACAAAUGAUACACAAAUAAUUGCUCACAACCCCCAGCCAAUGCCCAGCUAGGCAGGCCCCCGAGCAGCAGAAGAGAGUGAGAUGAACUCCUACCCCCUUCAAAACUCCUUCUGCAUGAUGUCAUAUGGGAUGGAAUAUCUCUUUGGCCAGUUUAAGUCAGUUGUCCUAACCCUGUUCCCUCCCAGCUCCUUUGGCCCUUCACUGAGAAUGGCCUUGGCUCUGUGCUGCUUGGCAGCAGCUAUGAACAUCAUUUUUCUCCUAGAACCAAAACACAGCAUCAUAACAGACACUCUGAAGACAACAACUCCAUCCCAGCUGAAACUAAGACACUGGAAGACGUAGAGGUCCCAAAGCACUGAUAGAGAACAUUCUGAAUAGAGAAACACCUACAAUUUACUUACUGUGGGGCAUAUUUCUUGGCAAUGACAUGCAGUUGUUUCUUUUCUUUCUUAGGUGUGGUACUUAUACGAUGUGAGUGUAUGAAGUGGGGGAGCCAUCAUAUGGAAAUAUACAAUCUUGAUACUCUUGAGUUUUGCCUGACUCCUAGCCAAUCUUCUACACAUUUUUCUAGUGGAAUAAGUUUCAGUGUAAGUGAUUUGACUAAAGGGCAUGUAGCAACAGGAUGAGGGGAAAUGGCCUUAAAUGAAGAGGGUAGAUUUAGACUAGCUAUCAAGAAGAAAUUCUUUACUAUGAGGGUGGUGAGACACUGGAACAGGUUGCCCGGUGAGGCUGUGAAUGCUCUCUCCCUGGAAGCAUUCAGUGCCUGGCUAGAUGGGACUUUGAACAAGCUGGUCUAGUGGGAGGUGUCCCUGCCUAUAGCAGGGGGUCAGAACUAGGUGAUCUUAAAGGUCCCUUCCAGCCCAAACCAUUCUACUAUUCUAUGAUUCUAUGAUAGCAUGAACAAUUCUUCUCAUGACAAUGCUUAAAACUCCAUAUACUUUGGAGACUACAACUAAAUGUGGGGCAAGAAAUAUACUGGACUGUUUUUGGUAAAAAGCUUAUCAUUUUUUCUUAGGAAAUGAAUACGUUCUUAAAUGAGAGACACUCUUCCAGAAAAUAACUCAAGGUGAUCCUUAUGUACUGCAGUCCAAAGCAAAAAGUAGUGUAUAUUGUAAAUACUAAUGGCAAGUAUAGAAAAGUGCAGAUCAGUCAUUCUAUCAUCCAGGAUUACCUUUUUUGAUAUACUGAGCUGAGAAACUUGGCUUUGUUAAGGGAAGCUUUGAGAGGGCUCUGUGGCAGCCCUUCGUUAGCUUUCAACAAGAUCAGGAAAAUCAAAAUGUGAAAUUCCUGUUCUGAUACACAGUAUAUUUAAAAAAAUAUAUAAGGAAUCUGUCAAAGGUAUAAAUUAAUCUAUUCUAAGGAAGAAACAUUUUUAAAAUGAGUUGUCUCAGAUAUUCCCAAAUUAUGUAACUACACAAGAUCAGUCAUUUGGAAUUUUGGGGGCAUAUUACUUUUAGAAAGACAGUGAGAAAUCAAUGUCAUGAGUAUAAACUAUACUUUUUAUUUUAACUAUGAACUGAAAAGCUACAUCCCUUAACUGAAUAAUAUUUUGAUAAUGUAUUAUGAAUAUUCAACUUUUAUAUUACCUUUCUGGAUUUGUAUUAAGUUUUCUCUGGAGAAAAACUAGGCAGUAUUAUGAGGUUUCCUAAUCUUUCAACAAUGGGAGAAGUAUCACUAUGAGAUUAAUAGCUGGAAUGCAGCUGAAAGUUCGUUCUGUCCAUCAGGAAUUUAACUGGAAUCUUUACUAAUCUUUUGUAGUUACAAACUACUAUGCAGCCAAUAGCAUACAGCUAGAAUUAGUAAGACCUAUGAAGAAAUUCUGUACUGUGCGAUACACAUAAUAGGCUUAAACAGAUUUGGCUUAGUAUACGUUGUUAAUUGACAGCAUAUGACUGCCUAGAAUCACACAGCUGCUUUGCAAACCAUUCAGACAAGCAGUUCUAAAUUAAUACAUAUCUAAUUCAUUAUUUAUGUAACAAAUUCUCUUCUUUCACAAUUAACAAUAAAGAAAAGUAUUUCCAAAGGGGUCAUCACCUUUUGUAGCUGACCUUACACUUAUGUGGGACACCAUUUUCAAGGGCUGUAGAGAAUCAGCAACUACUUGGAAUGAAAAAUGAGUUCAGAUUGGAGCCAGCCCUCAUCUCUCAUCUCAAAAGGAAAGGAGCAUAAAUAAAUAAAUAUUUAUCCAACUGCUUAGCUAUAUUUAUUUUCCACUGCCUCCCUGCCUACAGCAACACGGAUGUCCCCUGAGCUCUUGAACCUGUUUAUUUCCCAUCCGCUACCUGUCCAAUUGAAGCAGCACUAAUUAUCCCAGAAGGCUUUGCUCCUGUCAGUUAAGGCAGAAAAAGCACUCAAAGCCUUCUGGAGAUGCACUGGGGCCAUUGCUGGCAACAGGUUGUGGAACUCUUGGUGAAGCACAUCUAAAACCUGGAGUUAUAGCUUGGAGCUGAGCUGGAGCAUUGAAAUGGAGAAGCAGGAAUGAUACUUAAUAGACUUAAGAUGCAACAACAUCUGAGAAACACAUUAUUGCAGACACAUGCACUCCUGACCUAAUUACAGUUAGAUUUAUUUCUCUUCUGCGUGUAAUUUAUAUUUCUGUGUUCUGUUGUUGCUGGAAGUUACCCUCCAUAAUUUGAACCCAGCCCUUAAGAUCAUUCUCUAGGUCUGCGUCAUUUCAGUAAGACCUUUUUUUCAUAGCUCAUACAUUUUCCUGAUUCCAGACUCUCCAAGGUGUAUGGUUUUGGAGGAGAAUCCUGCAACUCAUAUGAGAGCAGUUCAGAUAUAUGGUCACAACAUGACAGGAAGAACCAACACCUCAGGUGUUGCUGGUGAUCAUUCAUCCCACUAGUACUCUGAGCACUAGAUCAGAUAAUUCAAUCAGCAUAGAAAAAAAAAUCACAACAUCUUAACACAUAAUAAAUUGAUAAUAAAAUUUUAAAAACCUCCUUUCCAGUUAAUUAUUAUUGGAAAUAAAAAAAACAACUUCAUUUACUUCCUCUGUACAUAGAACUUGUACAAACCAUAGCAUGGAAUUCAGGUGGAUGGGGCCAGCGUGUGUCAGAAGCCACUCUACCCAUGAGCGUAGCCAUGCAGAAUGGAGGAACUUUUCCAUCUUCCUACUUGACUGCAAACUGAGGGACAGGGCAGAUAAAAAGUGGGUAAUAAAAAAUUCCCAGCAUAGCAGUGUUGUAUUUUUAUCUCCUGUAGGCUUUGUAGGGGAAAAAAAAAAAAAAAAAAAAAAAAAAAGAGGAAGAGCUCCUACUGGGGUAUAUGCUCCGGGCCUUAGUUCUUAAUCUGACAAGAACCAAAUAAGGAGUGAAGUGUGUGACAAACGAGAGGCACAAAAGUAUUCAUGCAGGAAACUUGCAAUGUUCUGGGAUUCACUCCCUUCAUAUAAAUUAUUCAUUUUGUAGCUGGAGACUCUGCUUAUGACAAGUGUAAGAUUGGCACUAAAAUAUCAGAUGGACCAUGUGAUCAUUUAGCUAGCUGGAAAAUGAGAAUUCAAGUUCAGGAGAAAAAAAAAAAAAUUGCUUCAUUCUGUAUUGGAAAAAACAACCAAAAUGCUGCAUCCUAUUUUUCCUCGUUAUAAAAGCUAAAACAAGAGCUAUCCUCAAAAUAGCAAUACUGGAGGCAUUCAUGUGAGAUUAAAUUCUUGCUCUGCAGUGAAAUUCCUACUGUCUGAUAUAGACAGGAACUUACACCUGUGGCUUCCAGUCCCAGUUCAGCAGUCACCUGGGGACUUGUUUCUGCUUUUCUCUCUCAUUUGUAUCAGAAAUUUAAUCCUAAAUCCAAGGGAAGAUGUUGAAAUGAAAGCAUUUGGUUUUGAUGAACUUAGUAUUUCUGAAUGAAAAAAUAGAAAUGAAAUGAAAAAGUAGAAAUAUUUGUUGAUAUUGCUUGUGCAGAUAAACUUGUGGAAUCUUUGCUCAGCACUCAAUUUAUCUCAAAGAAAUUAUUAACAAUUGUUAACACAUGUUACUAGAAUAAAAUUAAGAAAUAAAUUAAGAAUUCUUUGUUAGCUACUGUAAUUGUUGGCUUUUUAAAGUACCAUGUUAUUUUCCUUCUUCACCGGCACAUUUUUUAGCGUGUUUCCUGAAAUGAAAAUCUGUGUUAAAAAUGGACUGUUGGUUAACACUGAGAACGAGCCUUGUUUUAAACUGCUGUGUUGAAGGUGACUUGAUGUUGGAAGCAUAUAGAACAGAUUCUUCAGUGUUACCAUAGAAUGGUUUGGGUUGGAAGGGACCUCUAAGAUCAUGGAGUUCCAACACCAUGCUAUAGGCAAGGACACCUCCCUCUAGACCAGGUCCAUCCAGCCUGGCCUUGAAUGUCUCCAUGGAAGGGGACAUCCAUAGUGUCAGUUUGAAUACAAAUUCCAUUCAACAGUUCUUUAAUUUUAACACUCCCUCUAUAAGACUCUGCUAGUGCUAUACAUCAGCACAAUUGUCCUAAUCCAAACAAAUCUUGUGAUCUCCAAUUCUACGAUAUCCAAAAUAGAACACUGCAAACAUAUUAGGUAAAGCAGAGUAGUUACUCGGUAUGUAUUCUCACAGUAUGUAGUCUCUUCAAAGGAAUAUUAUGAUUUUCUUUACCUACGUGUUUCUCUCCUCUAAUAUCAGUAGUUAUUUUAAUUGUUGCCCACUGUAGGAUGCUGUGGCUCAGUUUUAAUUUUCAAAACCAUGAAAAGCUAUGCUAUAGAUUUUCACUUCACUAACAAUUUUGGGUACUAACGAUGUAUACAAAGAAAUGUUUAAUCAUAGAAUAAUAGAAUCAUAGAAUCACUACGGUUGGAAAAGAUCACCCAGUCCAACCAUUCACCCAUCACUAAUAGUUCUCACUAAACCAUGUCCCUCAACACAACAUCCAGGUAAAAUUAUGAGGAAAAAAAGAACUUUUUUUUGUAUUUUAUGUAUACAAUAAUCUUUAUAUUGGAGAAUACAGAUGUGAUCAGAACGGUAAAGCUUUUUCUUCUCUCACUAAGAAGGGAGUGAGAAUGUUUUGUUUGAAACACUAGGACAGCUGAUAAAAAAAACUCCUCUUGUUUCACAAGCACUGAAACUCCACUGAGAAAAACAAUUUCCUUAAACCUGGAAUUAAGAUGCUGGAGAUGGCACAGAAAGUAACAUCACAGAGGUGAGAUUCUCAGCACCCAUAUUUAGCUUUGAAACUAUGGAUGUUUGGUUAAUAGAAGACAUUAUUGCAUGUGAGACACACAAUAUCAUAUCAUAUAAUCAUAGAAUCAUAGAAUGGCCUGGGUUGAAAAGCACCAUAAUGAUCAUUUAGUUUCACCCCCCCUGCUAUGUGCAGGGUCGCCAGCCACUAGACCAGGCUCCCCGGAGACACAUCCAGCCUGGCCUUGAAUGCAUCUAUCCCCAGGGAUGGGGCAUCCACAACCUUCUUGGGCAACCUGUUCCAGUGCAUCACCACCCUAUGGGUGAAAAACUUCCUCCUAAUAUCCAACCUAAACCUCCCCUGUCCCAGUUUAAAACCAUUCUCCCUUGUCCUAUCACUCUCCACCCUUGUAAACAGCUGCUCCCCUUCCUGUUUAUACGCUCCCUUCAAGUACUGGAAGCCCACAGUGAAGUCUCCCCGGAGCCUUCUCUUCUCCAAACUAAACAAGCCCAGUUCCCUCAACCUUUCCUCAUAGGAGAGGUGCUCCAGCCCUCUUAGUGGCCCUCCUCUGGACCCGCUCCAAGAGCUCCAAGUCUUUCCUGUACUGGGGACCCCAGGCCUGGAUGCAGUACUCCAGAUGGGGCCUCACAAGAGCUGAAUAGAGGGGCACAAUCACCUCUCUCUCCCUGCUGGCCACCCCUUUUUUUAUGCAGCCCAGAACACAGUUGGCCUUCCAGGCUGCAAGGACACACUGCUGGCUCAUGUCCAACUUCUCAUCUACCAGGACCCCCAAGUCCUUCUCCGCAGGGCUGCUCUCAAGGAGAUCUUCCCCCAGUUUGUAUAAGUCCCUGGGAUUGCCCCAACCCAAGUGCAGCACCCUGCACUUGGCCUUAUUGAACCUCAUUAGGUUUUCAUGGGCCCACUUCUCCAGCCUGUCCGGGUCCCUCUGGAUGGCUUGCCUCCCUUCCAAUGUAUUGACUACACCGCUCAGCUUGGUGUCAUCUGCAAACUUGCGGAGGGUCCGCUCGAUGCCAUUGUCUAUGUCAUUGAUAAGGAUGUUGAAGAGCACCGGUCCCAGGACCGACCCCUGAGGGACACUGCUUGUGACUGGUCUCCAUCCUGACACAGACCCAUUGAUCAAAACCCUUUGGCUGUGCCCAGCCAGCCAAUUCCUAAUCCACUGAACAGUCCAUCCAUCAAAUCCACACUUCUCCAAUUUAGAGAGAAGGAUGUGGUGAGAGACGAUGUCAGAACUCCAAGGCGGUGUGCAAUGCCAGACAACAAAUUUGGCUGUUGUACACUGCCAGAUCCUCUUCCGUGUGAGAAAAUAUCAGACCUGUUGUCCAGCAAUCUGAAAGAAAUGUCUUUUAGGGAGAUGAACUGUGAGUGAGGGAGAUUAAGGUGGGAAAAGUCCAAGGAAAUUUCUAAAAUUCUGCCAUUCUGGAGCAAGGAAUUGGUGACAAGAAACUAUCAGUCUGCAGAGAUGAUGCAUCAGUGUUCAUAUAAACUUAUCUUCAAGUUAGCAGAUGAGAGAUAAAUAGAGGUUAGAGAUAAGCUCAGAGGUCUGCACUGAACCCAAACCACAAAGCAUUUUAUUGACAAUAAGUUAUAAAACAUUAAAAAUGACUGCAGGCUGCCCACCUGAGUUAUUCAGAGCUAAAAAAAAUGUUUACUGCUUUUGUUAAAAGGAGUUUUUUGCAUGUAAGCUAUACAGACCAACUCUCACAACUUAUGCCACAUCCUUUAGCAGCUACUGUUACGGAGUCAUUUCUAUGAAUUACUAUUAGUUCAUCCGAAUAGCUAUUACCAUAUUAUCUAGGCUCUGGGGAAGAGCUAUUGGCUACAACUGCAUAGACAUUUUUGGAGAAAGUAUUCAUAACCAAUUCAACAAAGACAAACCAGACUUUGGAAAAAACAUUAUUGGGAAAAAUAUUUGUGAGAAUGAAAGUAGACGUCCAUUGAACUACUGUCUGGCUUCUCAGCUGCAGAUCUAGCAAACAGCAUGUUUAUCCAAGGCGCAAUCCCCCUGAGGCCAGACUACCCACUGCUUUUGGACAACACAUCAGAGGAAAGACAGAGAGCUUCACAGUCUCAUGUGAUCAAGAGAUGCCUGCCCUGGCAGUAGAAAUGCUGCCACAUCUCUUGGGGACUCAGCCAAGGGGUUUGAAUCAGCUGUGUGAUCCCUCUGCUCCUGGGGAACCUCUCAGGCUCUGCAGCCUUGAGAGUUGCUUGGGGAGCUGCCCUCAGAACCUAGGUAAGCAGAAAGACUUCCCAGAAGUUGUGGCAACUGAGUGCUCCACAGCAUUUAGGAAAAAUGAGAGAGAAAUAUUUUAGCUUUCCCUUAAGAAACAGACCUCUGCACAUCUGCACAUCUUCCUGCGAUGUAUUUUGCCAUUUGAGUUCUGAACUGGAACAUAUUUUUAUUUUUGUACAAAGCAUUCUGAUGGGGGAACUUUUUUUUUUUGUGGAAGUCCUGAGUUUUGAUUUGUUCUACUAUAAGGCAGUGUUCAAAGACAAUAUUCUGCUUAUCUUUGAGCAUAUAAUAACAAGAAAGGAAUAUUAUGCUAAAUGCAAGAAACAUUUAGUCAGCAUGAACCACUAGUGCCUCCAUCAAGCACCUGUUUUCAUAUGAGAGACUGGUGCAGACAGAAUCUAAGAGCCAUUAGUGAGGUGUCCACAUCAGAAGGUGCAAAGGAAGCUUAUGGAUUUGUUAAGCUGAGUUACAAUUUUGAGAUUUUAUUCUGGAAUUCCUGUUAACUCACAAUGAUAUAAAUUACAGACUUGUGUUAAAGCAAAGGAAUACUUAGAUUCUGUACUUCUUGCAAACAUCCCCAACUCUACAGAACAGUUAGUGGUAAAAGUCUGCAAAAGAACUAUAUGUCGGAAAUGUAGGAAUAGUCUUGAUGCAGAGGUUGCAGCCUGUGCUAGCAAAAAUGGCCCCAAACCACUAUGGGACUAAACAGAAAAAAAAUGGAGCUACUAACUGUGCGCUGCAAAGUGGAAUGAUGCCAUCAGCUCACCACUGGGUUCAGCUUGGAUGUGCCAUCUAUCUCAAAUUGUUCAAAAAGUAUCAAGAAGAGAGUAAGAGAUUACCCAAGAGAUAAUGCUGUUGGCACUCCAGGACUGGCAUUGCUGAAGAGAGGUGGAAAAUCACUAGUCAUUUCAUUGAAAAAUGACAGUAGCUUCUGCUUGAAACAUCUCUGCUUUGACAAAUACUUUCUUAUCGUUGUCUUUAGCAAUAGCAUUAGAACCUCGACAUCCCAUGCUUGCACUUCUCUUUUAUAUUGCCACCACAUAUUCCUAUCGUAGAUACUGGGAUUGCCUCAUGCACCCAGGCAUCCCUCCUCAUUCCUUUCUGGAUGAUAAGGUCCUACCAGAAAUUAUUUUCCUUAGUUAUCAAGUGACUCCAUUAUUGAAUUUCAUCUGAUUUUAUUAAAGGGCUUCCAGUAGAGUCCUGAUUCUCCUCUCUAUUGACAGUUCUUCCCCGCAUCUGUCAUCAGUACAUCUAAUUACUCAAUUCUACUUCUCGAGCCAAGACUAUUAGUGAAAAUGAUGAACAGAUAGAAAAACAUAUCCUAGAACCAGUCCAUAAAAAACAUCUAUACCAAUUUUCACCUAAAUGCACCCUCUUUCAUUUGUUCUCUUUGCUCUCUUCCUUUCAUCUAUUACUUUAAUCAGUUUACAGUAUUUCUACUCAUUAGUAUCUCUUCCUGUUUAGUUAAUAAUGUCCCAUACUGAGUUGUUCCAAACACUUUCUAGCAAUCUGAGUCACUGUACUGUAUUUCACUGCCAUUUUCUUUUUUUUUUAAAGGAUCAUUUCUCUGAUGAAAGAAGACUGUGUGGUUUAUGUUUUUAAUAUUCUUUGCAAAAUUUUAAAAAUAAUUUUUAUUAGUGUCAUUUUACCCUUAUUUUUCUGAACAUAUACAUACAAUAUACAUAUAUAUAUCUAUGUAUUUACCUUAAUUGAUCUUUUUCAGUUCUUAAGAUUUAUUUUUGGGAGAGUCAUUAUUUACUAGUUAGACAUGGAUGACUUGUCUAGGUAUAAGAUUUCACCACUUCUGUAGAGCACAAAUUCCAGGUGAUUUUGUCAAACCUAUUUCUCAUUUCUUGCCACCAGGAAGCAAGCCAAGUGCUUCCCAAAACAUCACAAUUUUCAACACCACAAUUGGCAGUUAUUGACAGUCUCAGUGGAGAGGACAAUGACUAGAUUGGCAAGGAAAAUGAAUUAAUUUGUCAUUCUGAGUGGAUCUUCUGUAACAAGGCUAAAGGAGUUUGGCAGCUUAUAAUUGGAAAUCUUGUUUUUUGCUGGCAAUACUCUAUCUAUACAGUGAACGAUGCAAAGGCUUCAGAGUUAUCACUCUGGUGCUCAUUAAAAAUUAAACAGAUAAAAAUACUAGCCAAGAAACAUCAAUGCAGCUAGCGAGAAAGAAACAAUCACACAAAAAUAAAUGUGAAGCACAUAUUGACUUGGAGUUUACUAUUUCCUGAGUAACUCUCACAUCCCUGGUUUGGUGGGAGCCCUCAGCUGAUUCUCACCAGCUCAGUGUUUGAACUGGCAAUUUUAUGGGUCAGAGGGAGGUUUUGCCAGAUGCACAGAUUUCAGUGCUUUGUGAACAGCCAGAAAUGUGGCAACAGAUUUUUUUGACAGUAUCAAUUAGAUCUUCUAUCCAUUGGGUCUUGCUGAGAAAGUCCUUGUCUAACAAGCACUGCAUGUACAGCUUGAAACAUGGGCAAUUCCCUUUGGAGGCCAUUUAGGAAAGAUUGUAACCAUUUUCUUUCACAGCCUGUUUACUUGCAGAUUAUUUUCUCAACUCUUAAAGCAUUGCUAAGAUACACAUACGUUUGUUCUGUAAUUUCUACUGAAGUCAGUGUCAGCAGAUGUGACAUUUCUGUCUCAGUCUGUAACAGCAAGUGGAAGAAUGGGGGAUACUAUUCCCUGUAUGACUUUACUUUCCUCUCGAGUUAUCUUAUGGCAUUCUUUACAGUUUUAUUUUUUUCUCUUUACAGUUUUAAAUGCAAAGUUUGGAGGAAACCAUCCUUUAAAUGAAUUCCUUUUCUAGUCUGUGUUUUCUUCAUUUUAUGGAGGGCGAUUUUCCUUUCUGUCCCUUGGCACCCAGUAUCUUUCCAGAGAAUGACUGUCUUUUUAUUUCCUUUCAAGUUCCUUUUACUUACCCACUUACCCUGUGCCAUUUUCUAGUACUGAAACUCCUUCUGUCUGUUCAACCCCACAGUUCCAGGCUCUAGGUCACUCUCCCUGUCCUCCCAGUCAUUAUCCCGUGCUCUCUCCCUGCCACCUUGGUUUCUGCACUGUUUUCCUCGCUUCCCUGCAUAAAUAUUCUCUCUUUUGUUGUAGUUGUUGUCAUUUAAUCUCACAGACCUGAAGAAGGAUUCAUAGUAGGAUGAAGACGGGGCUUCUCGAUGGUUGCUUUCACACCAGCUGACCACCUGCCUCCUUAAAUCUGGAAUUAAUGCAUGCACAGCAAGCAUAAGAAUAAACAAUGAAAGAUUUUACAUAAUUUCAUGCUUUCUAUGAAUUGUUUGAUGAUUUCAAAAUGACUGUUGUUGCAAGUAAGUUAUGGCUUGUGCUAUUCAAUUUAUAAAUGAUCUAAAAUAAAUUUCAUACAGUGACAGUUUUCUGAUGAUAUUAUUUACUUUAAAGAAAUCAAAAGUCAGCUAUAAAGAGAUGCAGAAGUAUCUCAUAGUACUGAAAUACUAUACAAAUUAAUAAGUCUAUAUAAAAUGGGACAAAAUACAUGGGACAAAAUCCUAACUUAGUGUGUAUCAUGAAUUGAUGGUUUGGGGUUCUUGGGAUUUGGGAUUUUGAUGAAUGGUUCUAUGAAAAUGUGGAGUUAACAUAUGAAUUCCUUAGAAGAAAAAAAAAAAAAGGAAUAUUAGGGAUUCUGAAGAAAGCAGUAGAAAACAAGGAGACAACUAUCAUCAUUUUGUCACCACUUAAUGGUGAUGAAUCUCUGAGGCACGUAUGCCUUGACCAUCCAGUGCAUUUAUGAUCACUUCACCUCAAAAAACAUAAUACAGCUGCAAAAGUCUCAGACAAGGGCAACAAAGGACAAGUGAACUUCUGGAAUGGCUUCUGAGCCGUGCAGGAACACUGAGCAGAUUACAGAGACAGCUUAGAGGGUAUACAACAGAAGUCUAUUAAAUCAUGAGUGCCAUUAAAGAGGAUAGGAGAGAAAAUGUUUGUUCUCUGUUUUUCCUCUCAGCAAGACCUAGGAGUAAAAACUACGAAACAGUAAGUGCAAAACAGAUGACAAGUGGUUGUUAUCCUUGUAACAGAGAGCUAAAGUGAGGAAUUCCCUGAUACAAAACAUUAUGGGUGCUAAAAGUUCACGUGGAUUGAAUGGUGUUUUGACAAUUUUCCAGUUAUUUCCCAGUUUGCUUGUCCUGUACUUGCACUCUUAGCUAUGAAUACUGAACUGAACAUUGGUCUGACUUGACAGAUCUGUUAUUUACAUGAUCAAUACCAUCUUAUUAUAGAAAUUAGUCUCAUUCCAAGGGGGCAAGGAUUGUGAUUUUUGUUUUUAGCUGCAAAACUCUAAUGUUUAGAGAAUAUUAUUUAAGCAACCAGGCAACAGCAGAAACCAGAAAAUUUGUCAAAACUGGAAUUCAGCUUGUGUCUGUUUGUUACUUUACUAGAUUAUUUCUAGAAUGCUACCUUCUGCACUUCAAAAUGGGCAACUUGAUAGCAGGAUAUAAAGACUUUGUAUCUUGCACGCCUGUUCAGAAUUAUUUUCCUGCAUCAGGUGAACAGGUGAAAAUGAGAAUGAAGAAAAUAUCUUCCUUAUCUGAAGAUAUUCAAGACCUGCCUGGAUGCUUUCCCGUGCAACCUGCUUCAGGGUACCUGCUUUAGCAGUGUGGUUGGACUUGAUCUCUAGAGGUUCCUUCCAGCCUCUUUGAUUCUGUGAUUCUACGAUUGCAUGUGAUUCUGUCUUCUGAAGGUUAAAAAUUCUAGUAGUUAAUUUGUUGCUUCAACAAAGACAUAACAAAUUCACCUUACUCAGCUACCCUGUCAGAACCAUAACAAUAAGCCAAAUCCACAAAUCAACCAAAACACAAGGUUUUGGUCUUCAUUUGCAACAUAUGUCUGUUACAUGCAAACCAAUGAAACUCCAUUUAACUGGACUAUCUUGAGCUCAGUUCUCCCAUAAACUACAGAAGGAGUGAACUGACCUACUUUUCAGUUCUUAUAGUUAAGGCAGUGUAAAACCUGCUUCUGUAGCCAUUUAAAACUUAGUUCUGAAGACAGUUUAAAGUGACUGUUUUUGCUAUGCAUCAAAGCCAAAGAGAGCGUAUAGAAGUGUGUCUUUUGUAUUGUUCUCUCCAGUGUACCAGAUUGCUUUUUUUUUCUCCUCAGGUUUAAUAACUCCACCUGUUAGUCAAUUCACUCACUAACAUUAGUGAUAGAUAUUUGUAUUCUAGGCUAUGACCUAUGACUGUAACUCUAGGAACUGUGUGCGUUGUCUACUGGUAGAAGAAAAAUAGGCUUGUAAAGGGGUCUAUCUCCUGAACAUAAUUUAUACAUAAAUUAUGCAAUCAUUCAUACAGGCUCUUACAUAGAAUUAUUUUUUUAAUUAAUAAGGAGGACUUUAUUUACACUCAGAGAAAAUAUAUAAAAUCAUAUUGCCUGGAACUAAAUUACAGGAUUCAUCUCAGUAAAUUAAAGGAAAAUAGCAUAAAAAUUUGCAAUGAGCAAACAAAAUACUAAAUUAGGUUGUGACUGAAGCUAACAGAAAGCCUACCAUAUCUGUUAGUCUUUCUUUUAAUCAGGAAAGCUGGAGGUGGAAAGAUCUCUGUAAGAGUCACAACUUUAUAAUGUGAUUUAUUUCAGGACUUGAGAACACAGUUAUAUUAACCCCUCCAGUGAGUCAUGGCCCAUGUGCUCUUCCACUCAUUAUUUGGAGGAGAAAUGGAUAUGUGGGCAUUCCUGAAAAUCAAAAUGCAGAACAACUUGCCAGGCAGUACUCGGUUAGGAAGACAGAGGCCUUUGUAGGCUCAGAUCUGUUUCUGAACACAAGGUUAUGUUCUGGUUGAACCUGCUGUUGAAGAAAAAAAUAUUUUAAAAAAACAUUAUUCUAUACAACUUGUCAAUGUAUUGCAGUUUCCAUUGAGAGAAUGGUUUUACAUAUGGUACCAGUGAUACUUAUUUCUUCAUUCUGGCAUUUUCCAUACCUGUGCUUUUUAAACAGAGAUUUAAGAUUGCUGUCCUACAAUCUACAAAAACACAAAUGGUUGUCCUCUUUGACAUUACUGACUUCAUUUGUCUGUGAAAUGCUUCUUAUUCACACUUCAAACUCCAUCUCACCUUUCCUCAGUACCUUUCCAAUUUCCAACUGUGAUUGCCAAUAUACUUGAUACCUCCCUUGUUUCUUUCUAUUAGCAUCACUUUUGCUGCAUUGCCAGUUCUUGAAGCUAUAAGAAAGUGGGCAAGAUGAGGAAGUAGAAGUGAGAUAAUUUGGUGCCUUUGCCUUUGGUUGCCCUUUUCAUUUGUGAAAAUUCUCUGGCUGAAAUAGUAAAUAACAUGGAAAGUAGACUAUAAAGUUUCUAAAGCUCUCUUUCCCAUGACUUUUUUUUUCAUAAUAAUAAUAUUUUAACCAUUGUUUUGGAUUAUAACCCUUAGUGGGAAACAACUAUGGCCAUGAAAUUAUAGAGUCAUGUGAGUACUUCUGCUAUCCUCUGGUACCUUACUGUGCAUUUGUAGUAGAACUGCUGAAUUUGCCUUCCAUGGAAGACAAAUACACUACUUAGGUUGAGGGUACUCCUUCCUUUGGACAUUUCUAAAAACUGUACUUCAGAUGUCACAAAAGUUCUUUUAUUAAAAUGUGGCCCUGUGUUAUACUUCACUGGUUAAUAUAACAUUAACUUUGAUAUCAUUCAAUAUGGGAAAGGACUUAAAACAAUGUCUCAAGGUAACACCUAGCAUUAAUUCUGUUUCUAAGAGUCAUUCAUUUCUACUGGCUUUAGCAUUGGGAAUGUGAAAUGGUUGCAGGAGCAAAGAAGAAAGUACAUCAGGAUUCACAUUCUCAGUCUUUUUUUAUGGCUGCAGUUUUCUCAUCCUUAUGACUUCUUGAAAUAUGACAAAGACCAAGAAGACAGGAAACAGGGCAGAAAGUACUGGUGUCAUCAUUGUUCCUUUCUACUUUUAUGAGCUGAAUCACAGGAUGGGGGGGAAGGGGUUGGGAUAGGAUUAAAAAAACUCAUAAGGAGGGGUGUCCACUUCCCACCUGACAUGACUUCCUGAAAAAAAUUCUGUCCUAAUUCCUAAGGCAUAAUUCCUCUCUGAGAUCUACCAAGGAUGAGGGCAGGGAAGAAGAGCGUUGAAGGAAAACUGUGCUUAACAGACCAGCUCAGCACACACAAAGCUGGAGUUAUAUGAAUAAAUGAGACAGCUGCUAUACAAAUAUAUGAGACAGAUGCUCCAAAAGUAAUGCCUCUGAUAUUAUUUUGUUGGCUUGUGGCAUCAAAGGCAGAUGGCGGUGGUGAAUCCUACUGCCUAUAUUCCAUUAAAUUUUGUUGCAGUAGAGAGGCAGUCUGACAAAAUGGUGCCUGACAUAGAAAUGCACAUGAAACAAAGGUGUGUAACUGAAUUCUUCCAUAUGCUACAAGUUGGCAGUUAACUGACAUUCAGUGAUGCUUGCUCAACGUAUAUGGAGACCAAAUAGUGGAUGUGAGCACAGUGAGGUGGUUGGUGGUGUGUUUCAGCAGUGGUAAAAGCAGUGUGAAAGAUAAGCCAUGUUCCAGAAAGCCAUGCACAGCUGUCACAUCAUGAAAUGAAGAGUGUCUCUAGCAGCUCCUCCACACAAAUCAGCUACUGAUUGUGACUAUGUUGAAAAGUACUGUUUUGUAGCUGAGAGUUUGCUCUAUCAAAUAGCGUUGUUGUGCUCUUUGUAUCUUUUGCAGUUUCCAUGGAAAUAAAUAGGAGAAAUAGUUUCAGAAUGGCCUACAUAAAUAAAUAAUAUAAAACAAUACAUAAGAAGACAGUGUUAGCUCUCCUCUUAGCUGGAAGAAUAUGUGCAUAUACUUGGAUUUUUUGGAAGAUGUUCAAAGAACUUCUUUGUUUUCAGAAAUACACACGUUGCUUCCCAUUAUUCAGGAAUGUUUCUUUUCUUGAGCCAAUUUCUCUCCGCAUGAGAUGAAUACAGAAAAACCUCCAGGUAAGGUGCUUAAAGCAAUGAAACCAUAGAACUCAAAACAAUUUUUUUUACAAUUGCUGCAUAUGUUUUUCUGCAGUUUUAACCUACUUAAGCACUAGUUUGAGUAAUGAAUUCUUAAAACUUGCUUUACAUAUCUUGCAUAAGGUACAUCACAAUGCAAACGUUAUUCUGUGAUAUUUUAUGAUGAACACUUAUAAAUGUGUUCCUGCAGUACAAUUGGUUUUUCCACAUAAAGAAUGAAGGUGGUAAAAGCAUAUUUUCAGUUUAAUUACAAGUAAUAUUUCUCAAGAACAUUCCCUCCUCUUCCUCUUCCUCUUCCUCUUCCUUUUUGACUUUAUUUUCCCUUUAUUUCUUUUAUAGCCUUUUCACUUGAAUUACUUCACUUUGUACUCCAUUCUCUCCUUUUGUCUAUUCUUAAGCUUCAACAUCUAGCCCACAAUCUCUCCAAUUUUUCUGAUCACAUACAUCCACUCCUCAUUUUUUUCUUGUAUCUUCUAAGACAAAAUUAUAUCCUUCUCCAGCAGAAAUGCUGUAUUCCUUAAUGAAAGGUACUACUCAGUAGAAACAGUUGAGAAGUUCUCCACAUGAGUAGUUCAGUUCUUUAGUUGAAAUGUUCUUAAUACUUACAGAAUGUUCUAGCACAUUUUUUUGCUUAUUUUCUCUCGACAGUUUUUUUCCAUUCAGUAUGCAUCUUUUGUUUGUUAGAUCUUAGCAACUAUUUCUAAAAGAUCAAUUAAGUCUUCGUAAUUUAUAUCCACUUUCUUGCCUCUCAUAUUUUGCCUAAAAUCUCAUUCUCAGUAUUCUCUGCAUCUGCCCUGAUAAACCUGUUUUCUUCUGUUUACCAGUAUUCCUUGUUCACAUUUCUGAUUUUGAAUCAGAUAGUGGGGUGAUUCAUCUGACCUACUUGAGAUGUGUAUAUCAGAGAUAGAUGAAUUAUACCACAGAAUUGCCUCUUUCUUUUUGCCGCUAUUAACUACAAAGAGAUACUGGAUGACUUGUAUAGAUAUAAAUAUAUCCAAAGUUAGAUGAACAAUAUUGCAUUCUUUUGCCCAAAUAAAUCAAGUAAGUGGAGAAAACUCUAUAUAUCAGGCUGUUCUGUUUCACAUUGGGCUGAAAGUGGAAAUACUCAAAGAGUUCAUCCACUUGACCAAGUGCUGGACUGGUUGAAGGCAGCAAAUCAGAUGACCUGCUCAGAUAGUGAUGGCCGGCUGUUGCAAAGAAAGGAAAACUUCUCACUAAGAUGAUAAAACUUGUAAAUAUCAUGCCAAAAUACGUAAGUAUUUCUUCUGUUACAUCGACACACUCAAAGUAUCACUAAGAACAAACUACCCAGUCAGGGCUACUUGGAAACAUCAGCGAUAAAGAGAAGUUGAACAUCCAGAGGUCAUUUAUCCUAAAGAAGAAAUGUCUGCAGAAGGAUAUGACAUUAGCCUUCAAAUGCAUAAAAGAUUGAUGAAAACAAGAGAGGCACAAUCUGUUCCCCCAUCCAAGGUGCACAGGAGAAAAUACAAAGAGCUUCAGUUUUAACAAGGAGUGUGAUUUAGAGCUCUUUUUUUUCUCCCCUGUAUUUCUGUAACUGUCAUUGGAAUAAAAAAUGUCUUACAUUGUGUAUGUAUGUGUGUGUGAAUGAGAAUUUUUGCAGAUGAGUCUAAUUUAAAAAGCCUUUCACGUGAAAGCCAACUGUUAGGUGCUAAACUGUAAAACCGAGGCUCAGAUUUCAACUGACUUGUGCCUAGGGAACAAGAAGAGUACUGUUCCUCUGAUUCAUGAAAGGGGUGUGUGUUUGUCACCAUCUCUCUUAUCCUUUUGUCUGCAGAGAAUCUGGGUACAGCUUGGGGCUAUCAGCUGAGAAAACAAGCUUUUAAAUCACAAGCUUCAGGCAGUUAAGUGAAAAGUAUGUGCUAAGUUUUUUUUUAUAGGAGGCAGUGGCACCUCCACCUUAUUAUUGUUUUAGGAUUUUACUUGUUCUCAUUGGGACCUCAGAUAAAAGCUUUUAUAUCCGAUUGGUGUUUGAACAGCUUCCUCUUUUGCAUGUCUUCCACAUCAUAGAGACAUAAAAGUCCCACAGAAGCAUGGGGUAGAGAGAUAUUGGAGAACGGGAAGUUUCAAAAUGAGAAAUGAACUUUUUCCCUUCUAACUCAUUUGACAAUACACAGAUACAACUAGCAGAGGAGACAAACUGGGAUAGAUCAGAAGUGACAGAAAGACAGCUGUGCAUACCUGGCAUACACUUGCUGGAAUAAAGCAGCAUCUGUAUACAAUAAGCCUUGCUUAUUUAUUUAUUUAUUUUUCUGUUGCCAUCACGAAUUAUAGUUUCUGCUUAAUGAUAAGGACACUAAUAACAAUAAGAAAAAGAUAGUAAGUUAUUAAUGGGUACAAGGAGUAAUAAACAAUAUUGAAAACAUCAAGGAAUCAGGUUUGUUUUUUUUUUUCCAUUCCUAAAUAGCAAUUACUCUUUUUCUUUCUUUCCCCCAAACAACUUUUUGCUUUACAUACUCUUAUAAAAUUGAAAAUGGAUUUCCUGUCCUAUGGCAUAAGUCACCAAAUUCCCUUCUAUCAAAUUAAUUAUAAAGUUAAAGAUAGCCAAACAACAUGAUCUAGUUAAAUUUCCCACAGCUUAUGAUAUUUCUGAACUCUGCGUUAAGAAAUUUGUACAGAAGGAUUCUUUCUAUCAUGCUGCAUGAAUGUUGAAAUCUGAGAAAUCUGUUUAAUGAAAUGAUGACUAAGUUAAAGAAUCCACAACAACAGGAC